GGUCGCUUAGCUCAGUUGGUUAGAGCGUGGUGCUAAUAUCAUCAGAUGUGCAACGCCAAGGUCACAGGUUCGACCCCUGUAGUGAUCA